rnacentral:rRNA from 1 species
GACGAACGCUGGCGGCGUGCCUAAUACAUGCAAGUCGAACGCCGUUGCGAACGGGUGAGUAACGCGUAGGUAACUGCCUCAUAGGGGGGGGUAAAUAUUGGGAACGAGAGCUAAUACCGCAUACUGUGAGAUGGACCUGCGUUGUAUUAGCGUGUUGGUGGGGUAAAGGCUCACCAAGGCGACGAUACAUAGCCGACCUGAGAGGGUGAUCGGCCAAAAUGGGACUGGGACACGGGCCCGACUCCUACCGGAGGCAGCAGUAGGGGAACUUUGGAAAUGGGCGGAAGUCUGACCGCGCAACGCCCCGGGAGUGGAGAAGGUUCUCCGAGUUGAAAGCUCCUUUGUUAGAGAAGCGGUAACUAACCAGAAAGGGACGGCUAACUACGUGCCAGCAGCCGCGGUAAUUC